UACGUAGGUGACCAGCGUUGUCCGGAUUUACUGGGCGUAAAGAGCGCGCAGGCGGUCGUUCAAGUCGAGUGUGAAAGCCCCCGGCUCAACUGGGGAGGGUCAUUCGAUACUGAUCGACUUGAAGGCAGGAGAGGGAAGCGGAAUUCCCGGUGUAGUGGUGAAAUGCGUAGAUAUCGGGAGGAACACCAGUGGCGAAGGCGGCUUCCUGGCCUGUUCUUGACGCUGAGGUGCGAAAGCGUGGGGAGCAAACAGG
rnacentral:rRNA from 1 species